rnacentral:lncRNA from 1 species
GGGCUGGUGCUCUCGUUCAGAUAGAUUUAGCUGGUGGUGCAGAGAUCCGUGAGCUUGCUUUUACAGGACUUUAAUGAUAUAUAAAAGCAGCACGAGGUGCUCCUGACUGUGGAUUAAUUUGGAGAUGACUUUCUCUGUUGAAGAGUAGCAAGACUCUCGCGAGUUCUUAAAAAUGCACUUGUUUGGUAUGAGAAUGAAAAGCAGUGGCUGAAGAACCAAUCUUCAAUGGGCAAGCCUUCUCUGACAUCAAUAUCUGGCUUUGAGUGGCACAAAGAAAUAAAGGAAUGUGGAUUCAGACCUCACUGGGAUGCUUGGCAAUUCUAAUUCUACCCCAGACUGCAAAUGGACACACAACUGUUGUGACUUUUGUUGAAGAGGAGAAGGAUGGUGAAGGUCUCUUUAGUCAAUAAUCUCUUUGCUGAAAUUGCUUCGGGCAGCACAGAAGCUGGAUUCAGAAGCACACAGGUCUGGGGAUGCAGGCUUCGGCCAGCCUGAUGCAAGGAAAGACUGCCAUCUCGUGGUCAGCUCAAUCCUGGCACCUUGGUGAGGGACCAGGCUGCAGAAAACCAGGCUUGGGGAGGAAACGGUGCUGCAAACUGGAUUUCUGCCGGACAGUGUGGAUGCCCUUAGAAAACACCCAGAAAAGAGCUGAGUGCCCCCCAAGGUAGGCUUCAGUGAAUCCUCUGCAGGUGUGUUGUCAUCCCUUGAGCCAAACACAUGCUUCACACACACGCUGCAGGCUGCGUGAAAAUGAGGUAGAAAUGUGGGGAAAACAUAAUCCCAUGGAGAGAACAAAGAGCUGAACACGUAAAUGCCUCCGGCGUGCCUGGCAGAGAGAACACUCAGGCUGAGAGAAGGGACAGUGACUUGUACCAAAGGUAGGCAAGUAGCCUCUGGGGUCUCAAUCAGCAGGGCAUCUGGUCAACCCUUCAGACAAAGUCAGGUCUGAGCAGGCAAGAUCCAUGGAUCUGAUUUAUUAAUAUUUUUACAAUUAAAUAGAAUCUGAUUGUAAAACUGUUACAUGUGUUGUAAGAAAAAAAGAAAAAAAG